UACAGAGGUGGCAAGCGUUGUUCGGAAUUACUGGGCGUAAAGGGCUCGUAGGCGGCCAACUAAGUCGGAUGUGAAAUCCCCAGGCUUAACCUGGGAACUGCAUCCGAUACUGGAUGGCUUGAAUCCGGGAGAGGGAUGCAGAAUUCCAGGUGUAGCGGUGAAAUGCGUAGAGAUCCGGAGGAACACCGGUGGCGAAGGCGACACGCUGGGCCGUACCUGACGCUGAUACGCGACAGCAUGGGGAGCGAACGGG
rnacentral:rRNA from 1 species